UCCCCCCUGAGCACCAGGGCUUGUGAAUGUGGGGCUGUUAAUUUAGUGGGCUGCGCUCGCUUGGUCAUCCUGGUAAGGUGAUCUACAGCAGACACCUACGCGUCACCUGUCCCUGUUUUCCCUUUAAUCCUGACCCAUAAACUCUCAGCCAGAUCCUCAUCUCUCCCCAGGUGGAGCUCCAUUCUCUCCAGAUGGUCACUGACAUUGUGGGCAACCCUGCCUCCUCAUCUUCCCUAUGGCUCCUAAAGAUCCUGUAUCCCUUCAUUCCAGCAGUACUGUCAGAGGAGCUGUCCCACUACAUCUCCAUGAUGCCAGUAGAUACCAAAUGAAUUGGUAAACUCUGGGGAAGAUCAUACCCUUAUGCAUCCCAUACCUUUCUCUAAGAAGCUUUCCUAUGUUUUGGAAUGAAUGUGGCAGCUGAGAUGCAGCAUGUGCAAAAGAACAACAAGGUCCUAGUCACAGUCUAGCUUCUGUUUUCAGCCCUUUCAAAGCUGCUUCCUUGCUGCCCCAAGAACAGGAUUAACAGGCAGCAGCUCACAGAGGGAGAUCAGCUUUCUGAGACAUGGAUGUCUUUAAAAGCACAUUUUAUGAUCUAAAGGAAUUUUAAGCCAUCCCAUUAUGAUACAAAGAAAAUGGGAGACAAAAGUAGGGGCAUAACAACGCAUGCCUCUAAAGUAAGGCCUGCAUUUGUGUUAAAUAUUGCUCAAGAAUUUGUGUUCAAAACUCAUGUUUGUGAUUUUCAUGGUGGAAAAAUUAUUGGAAAAAGAAAGUGGUACCUAAUAGAGUAGCAUGCAAACUGCAAAGGGGAAAAAAUUCUCUUAUUGUGAAAUUUCCAGAUGGCAAUAAGAUUGCUGGUGU